rnacentral:rRNA from 1 species
UACGGAGGGUGCGAGCGUUGUCCGGAAUCACUGGGCGUAAAGGGUGCGUAGGCGGGUUUUUAAGUCAGAGGUGAAAUCCUGGAGCUCAACUCCAGAACUGCCUUUGAUACUGGCGACCUUGAGUCCGGGAGAGGUGAGUGGAACUGCGAGUGUAGAGGUGAAAUUCGUAGAUAUUCGCAAGAACACCAGUGGCGAAGGCGGCUCACUGGCCCGAUACUGACGCUGAGGUGCGAAAGCGUGGGGAGCAAACAGG